AUUGAACGCUGGCGGCAUGCCUUACACAUGCAAGUCGAACGGCAGCACGGGGGCAACCCUGGUGGCGAGUGGCGAACGGGUGAGUAAUGCAUCGGAACGUGCCCAGUAGUGGGGGAUAACCCGGCGAAAGCCGGGCUAAUACCGCAUACGACCUACGGGUGAAAGCGGGGGACCGUAAGGCCUCGCGCCAUUGGAGCGGCCGAUGUCUGAUUAGCUAGUUGGCGGGGGAAAGGCCCACCAAGGCGACGAUCAGUAGCUGGUCUGAGAGGACGACCAGCCACACUGGGACUGAGAGACGGCCCGGACUCCUACGGGAGGCAGCAGUGGGGAAUUUUGGACAAUGGGCGCAAGCCUGAUCCAGCCAUGCCGCGUGCGGGAAGAAGGCCUUCGGGUUGUAAACCGCUUUUGGCAGGAACGAAACGGCGCAAGCUAAUACCUUGCGCUAAUGACGGUACCUGCAGAAUAAGCACCGGCUAACUACGUGCCAGCAGCCGCCGCGGUAAGAC
rnacentral:rRNA from 1 species